UGGGGAAUUUUGGACAAUGGGCGAAAGCCUGAUCCAGCAAUGCCGCGUGUGUGAAGAAGGCCUUCGGGUUGUAAAGCACUUUUGUCCGGAAAGAAAUCCUUGGCUCUAAUACAGUCGGGGGAUGACGGUACCGGAAGAAUAAGCACCGGCUAACUACGUGCCAGCAGCCGCGGUAAUACGUAGGGUGCAAGCGUUAAUCGGAAUUACUGGGCGUAAAGCGUGCGCAGGCGGUUUGCUAAGACCGAUGUGAAAUCCCCGGGCUCAACCUGGGAACUGCAUUGGUGACUGGCAGGCUAGAGUAUGGCAGAGGGGGGUAGAAUUCCACGUGUAGCAGUGAAAUGCGUAGAGAUGUGGAGGAAUACCGAUGGCGAAGGCAGCCCCCUGGGCCAAUACUGACGCUCAUGCACGAAAGCGUGGGGGAGCAAACAGGAUUAGAUACCCUGGUAGUCCACGCCCUAAACGAUGUCAACUAGUUGUUGGGGAUUCAUUUCCUUAGUAACGUAGCUAACGCGUGAAGUUGACCGCCUGGGGAGUACGGUCGU
rnacentral:rRNA from 1 species